GACGAACGCUGGCGGCGUGCCUAAUACAUGCAAGUAGAACGCUGAAGGAGGAGCUUGCUCUUCUGGAUGAGUUGCGAACGGGUGAGUAACGCGUAGGUAACCUGCCUGGUAGCGGGGGAUAACUAUUGGAAACGAUAGCUAAUACCGCAUAACAGUAGAUGUUGCAUGACAUUUACUUAAAAGUUGCAAUUGCAUCACUACCAGAUGGACCUGCGUUGUAUUAGCUAGUUGGUGGGGUAACGGCUCACCAAGGCGACGAUACAUAGCCGACCUGAGAGGGUGAUCGGCCACACUGGGACUGAGACACGGCCCAGACUCCUACGGGAGGCAGCAGUAGGGAAUCUUCGGCAAUGGACGGAAGUCUGACCGAGCAACGCCGCGUGAGUGAAGAAGGUUUUCGGAUCGUAAAGCUCUGUUGUAAGAGAAGAACGAGUGUGAGAGUGGAAAGUUCACACUGUGACGGUAUCUUACCAGAAAGGGACGGCUAACUACGUG
rnacentral:rRNA from 1 species